AUGGCUGGACAGUUAGCACCAAAAGUGAUGGUGAAAAGCACCACCAAGAUGUCUCUAAAUGAGCGCUUUGCUAAUAUGCUGAGGAACAAACAGCUGACGCCAGUGACUAUUCCAUCUUUGAUGCAGGACCAACAGCAGCCAGCCAGUGCCAGAAACAGAAGACUGGCCCAGCAGAGGGAGACUAGACCCUCUGUCCAGUCAGCAUUCAAACUUUAGCAGGCCGGGCGCGCUUAAAGCAGUCUGGGUAAGAGUAACAACCAGACAUGGUUAGGCACAGGGGCCCUGGCCAGGGGAGCAGAUGGAGGACAAGUCCUACCCAUAAUCCAGAGAGGCUUGCCCAGAGGAGGACUACGUGGGGGACAAGCCACCAGAACCCUGCUUAGGGGCGGGAUGUCGCUCAGAGGUCCAGGUAUGAUAGGUCGGGAAAGAGGGGGCUUUGGAGGCUGAGGCCAAGGCAGUGGACGAGGAAGAGGUGCCCUUGCUAGCCCUGUAUUGACCAAGGAGCAGCUGGACAACAACUUGGAUGCAUACGUGUUGAAAACAAAAGGACACCUGGAUGCUGAGUUGGAUGCCCACAUGGCGCAGACAGAUUCUGAAGCCAAUGAGUGAAGCCUGCCCACUGCUCACCCUCCUGUGAGAGACUCUUGUUGGUCAACACAUCUGUAAAUAACCUUGAGGUAACAGACGAGAAGAAAUCUGAUUGAUGCUGGAUGGACCCAUCACAAUAGGCUGUGGACUUACUUGCCA